GAUGAACGCUGGCGGCGUGCCUAAUACAUGCAAGUCGAGCGAACAGACGAGGAGCUUGCUCCUCUGACGUUAGCGGCGGACGGGUGAGUAACACGUGGAUAACCUACCUAUAAUACUGGGAUAACUUCGGGAAACCGGAGCUAAUACCGGAUAAUAUAUUGAACCGCAUGGUUCAAUAGUGAAAGACGGUUUUGCUGUCACUUAUAGAUGGAUCCGCGCCGCAUUAGCUAGUUGGUAAGGUAACGGCUUACCAAGGCGACGAUGCGUAGCCGACCUGAGAGGGGGAUCGGCCACACGGGAACGGAGACACGGUCAAGACCCCUACGGGGGGCAGCAGGAGGGAAUCUGCCGCAAGGGGCGAAAGCCUGACGGAGCAACGCGGCGUGGGUGAGGAAGGUCUUCGGUUCGUAAAACUCUGUUAUUAGGGAAGAACAAAUGUGUAAGUAACCAUGCAGGUCUUGACGUAACCAAAUCAGAAAGCCACGGCUACUUACGU
rnacentral:rRNA from 1 species